rnacentral:pre_miRNA from 7 species
UUCUAUGCUGGCAAUGAAAGACCCUUGUGGGGAGACCCCCACUCAAGUCCCAAGACUGUGUGUAUCCAAGGAAUCACGAAAGACC